UACGUAGGGUCCGAGCGUUGUCCGGAAUUACUGGGCGUAAAGCGCACGUAGGCGGAUUUGUAAGUCAGGGGUGAAAUCCCGGGGCUCAGCCUCGGAACUGCCUUUGAUACUGCAAAUCUCGAGUCCGGAAGAGGUGAGUGGAAUUCCUAGUGUAGAGGUGAAAUUCGUAGAUAUUAGGAAGAACACCAGUGGCGAAGGCGGCUCACUGGUCCGGUACUGACGCUGAGGUGCGAAAGCGUGGGGAGCAAACAGG
rnacentral:rRNA from 1 species